rnacentral:rRNA from 1 species
UACGAAGGGGGCAAGCCGUGUUCGGAAUUACUGGGCGUAAAGCGCACGCAGGCGGAUUUAUAAGUCAGGGGUGAAAUCCCGGGGCUCAACCUCGGAAUUGCCUUUGAUACUGUCUAUCUUGAGUCCGGGAGAGGUGAGUGGAAUUCCUAGUGUAGAGGUGAAAUUCGUAGAUAUUAGGAAGAACACCAGUGGCGCAGGCGGCUCUCUGUCCCGGUACUGACGCUCAUGUGCGAAAGCGUGGGGAGCAAACAGG